UUCUCACUAAAUCCUCCAUGGCUACUUAAUUUCAAGUUUUUAAAGCUUGAAUCAACCCCAUAAAUCCCAUAAUUUUCCUAAAUAAAACUUGUUCUUAGAUCUUGGCAAGCCUAUUGAGAAGGAAAUUUGAAGGAAAAUAAAAGGAAAAUUGAAGCUUGGGGAAACUUCACAAGAGUUGAAAAGAAUACUGGAAAAAAAACCGAGGAACCGAGUCAAGGCCAAGAGGCGACUCGCUUGAGAUACAGAGAUUAGAGGAGUAGCAGAAUGAGCUGCUAAAGAUUGAGGAUCAUUCAGCUUGAAGUCUUCGGGUAUAAUUUAUACCCCAAUUGUAAAUAUUUCUUUUGAUGUAUGUAUUGCAUAUAAAUGUAUGGACAUGUAAAUGGGUCUUGAGCAGCUUGUACAAAAUUUGUAUGAAGUUUGUAAUAAAUUUUAGUUUGUAUUUCUUUUGAUGUAAAUUUUGUAAGAAUGUACAUAAA